rnacentral:rRNA from 1 species
ACGCUGGCGGGUAUGCCUUACACAUGCAAGUCGAACGGAAUUUAGCUUCGGUUAAGUUUAGUGGCGGACGGGUGAGUAACACGUGAGAAUUUGCCUUUAGGAGGGGGAUAACUAGUGGAAACACUAGCUAAAACCCCAUAUACCCACGGGUGAAAAAGAGGAAGAAGGGAUAACCAUAACUCCUCUGCCUGAAGAGAAGCUCGCGGCUGAUUAGCUAGUUGGUAGGGUAAUGGCCUACCAAGGCGACGAUCAGUAGCUGGUCUGAGAGGACGAUCAGCCACACUGGAACUGAGACACGGUCCAGACUCCUACGGGAGGCAGCAGUGAGGAAUUUUCUGCAAUGGGCGAAAGCCUGACAGAGCAAUACCGCGUGAGGGAAGAAGGCUUACUGAGUUGUAAACCUCGGUGCCUUAAGGAAGAAGAUCUGACGGUACUUAAGGUGGAAAGCAUCGGCUAACCCCGUGCCAGCAGCCGCGGUAAGACGGGGGAUGCAAGUGUUAUCCGGAAUCACUGGGCGUAAAGCGUCUGCAGGUGGUUUCUUAAGUCCACUGUUAAACCUUGAGGCUCAACCUCAAAUCUGCAGUGGAAACUAGGAAACUUGAGGAUAGUAGGGGUAGAGGGAAUUUCCAGUGGAGCGGUGAAAUGCGUAGAUAUUGGAAAGAACACCGAUGGCGAAGGCACUCUACUGGGCUAUGACUGACACUCAGAGACGAAAGCUAGGGGAGCAAAUGGGAUUAGAUACCCCAGUAGUCCUAGCCGUAAACGAUGGAUACUCGAUGUUGGACGUAUCGACCCGUUCAGUAUCUUAGCUAACGCGUUAAGUAUCCCGCCUGGGGAGUACGCUCGCAAGAGUGAAACUCCAA